rnacentral:sRNA from 1 species
CCUCGCGCCGCCCGCCCGGCAGCCCGGCCGGCGCGCGCACGCCGCGAGCCGCUGGCGCUCGGGCUCCGCUCGGAUCCCAUGCAACAGCCAGGAUGUGAAGCGGGGCAGAGCCGGGGGAGCCCAGCCCAGCCAGCCUCCAGACGUUGCCCCAUCUGACGCUCGGCUCGAGGCCUCUCUGUGAGGGACCGGGGGGCCAUCCCCCUCCAGGGCGGAGAUCGGAGGUCACUGCCAAGCAUGGCGCCCACCUGGGGCCCUGGCAUGGUGUCUGUGGUUGGUCCCAUGGGCCUCCUUGUGGUCCUGCUCGUUGGAGGCUGUGCAGCAGAAGAGCCCCCCAGGUUUAUCAAAGAACCCAAGGACCAGAUCGGCGUGUCGGGGGGCGUGGCCUCUUUCGUGUGUCAGGCCACGGGUGACCCCAAGCCACGAGUGACCUGGAACAAGAAGGGCAAGAAGGUCAACUCUCAGCGCUUUGAGACGAUUGAGUUUGAUGAGAGUGCAGGGGCAGUGCUGAGGAUCCAGCCGCUGAGGACACCGCGGGAUGAAAACGUGUACGAGUGUGUGGCCCAGAACUCGGUUGGGGAGAUCACAGUCCAUGCCAAGCUCACUGUCCUCCGAGAGGACCAGCUGCCCUCUGGCUUCCCCAACAUCGACAUGGGCCCACAGUUGAAGGUGGUGGAGCGGACACGGACAGCCACCAUGCUCUGUGCAGCCAGCGGCAACCCUGACCCUGAGAUCACCUGGUUCAAGGACUUCCUGCCUGUGGAUCCUAGUGCCAGCAAUGGACGCAUCAAACAGCUGCGAUCAGGAGCCCUGCAGAUUGAAAGCAGUGAGGAAACCGACCAGGGCAAAUAUGAGUGUGUGGCCACCAACAGCGCCGGCGUGCGCUACUCCUCACCUGCCAACCUCUACGUGCGAGUCCGCCGCGUGGCCCCGCGCUUCUCCAUCCUGCCCAUGAGCCACGAGAUCAUGCCAGGGGGCAACGUGAACAUCACCUGCGUGGCCGUGGGCUCGCCCAUGCCAUACGUGAAGUGGAUGCAGGGGGCCGAGGACCUGACCCCCGAGGAUGACAUGCCCGUGGGUCGGAACGUGCUGGAACUCACAGACGUCAAGGACUCGGCCAACUACACCUGCGUGGCCAUGUCCAGCCUGGGCGUCAUCGAGGCGGUUGCUCAGAUCACGGUGAAAUCUCUCCCCAAAGCUCCCGGGACUCCCAUGGUGACUGAGAACACAGCCACCAGCAUCACCAUCACGUGGGACUCGGGCAACCCAGAUCCUGUGUCCUAUUACGUCAUCGAAUAUAAAUCCAAGAGCCAAGACGGGCCGUAUCAGAUUAAAGAGGACAUCACCACCACGCGUUACAGCAUCGGCGGCCUGAGCCCCAACUCGGAGUACGAGAUCUGGGUGUCGGCUGUCAACUCCAUCGGCCAGGGGCCCCCCAGCGAGUCAGUGGUCACCCGCACAGGCGAGCAGGCCCCGGCCAGCGCGCCGCGAAACGUGCAAGCCCGGAUGCUCAGCGCCACCACCAUGAUUGUGCAGUGGGAGGAGCCGGUGGAGCCCAACGGCCUGAUCCGCGGCUACCGCGUCUACUACACCAUGGAACCGGAGCACCCCGUGGGCAACUGGCAGAAGCACAACGUGGACGACAGCCUGCUGACCACCGUGGGCAGCCUGCUGGAGGACGAGACCUACACCGUGCGGGUGCUCGCCUUCACCUCCGUCGGCGACGGGCCCCUCUCGGACCCCAUCCAGGUCAAGACGCAGCAGGGAGUGCCCGGCCAGCCCAUGAACCUGCGGGCCGAGGCCAGGUCGGAGACCAGCAUCACGCUGUCCUGGAGCCCCCCGCGGCAGGAGAGUAUCAUCAAGUACGAGCUCCUCUUCCGGGAAGGCGACCAUGGCCGGGAGGUGGGAAGGACCUUCGACCCGACGACUUCCUACGUGGUGGAGGACCUGAAGCCCAACACGGAGUACGCCUUCCGCCUGGCGGCCCGCUCGCCGCAGGGCCUGGGUGCCUUCACCCCCGUGGUGCGGCAACGCACGCUGCAGUCCAUCUCGCCCAAGAACUUCAAGGUGAAAAUGAUCAUGAAGACGUCAGUUCUGCUCAGCUGGGAGUUUCCUGACAACUACAACUCACCCACACCCUACAAGAUCCAGUACAAUGGGCUCACACUGGAUGUGGAUGGCCGUACCACCAAGAAGCUCAUCACGCACCUCAAGCCCCACACCUUCUACAACUUUGUGCUGACCAAUCGUGGCAGCAGCCUGGGCGGCCUCCAGCAGACGGUCACCGCCUGGACUGCCUUCAACCUGCUCAACGGCAAGCCCAGCGUCGCCCCCAAGCCUGAUGCUGACGGCUUCAUCAUGGUGUAUCUUCCUGACGGCCAGAGCCCCGUGCCUGUCCAGAGCUAUUUCAUUGUGAUGGUGCCACUGCGCAAGUCUCGUGGAGGCCAAUUCCUGACCCCGCUGGGUAGCCCAGAGGACAUGGAUCUGGAAGAGCUCAUCCAGGACAUCUCACGGCUACAGAGGCGCAGCCUGCGGCACUCGCGUCAGCUGGAGGUGCCCCGGCCCUAUAUCGCAGCUCGCUUCUCUGUGCUGCCGCCCACGUUCCAUCCCGGCGACCAGAAGCAGUAUGGCGGCUUCGAUAACCGGGGCCUGGAGCCCGGCCACCGCUAUGUCCUCUUCGUGCUUGCCGUGCUUCAGAAGAGCGAGCCUACCUUUGCAGCCAGUCCCUUCUCAGACCCCUUCCAGCUGGAUAACCCGGACCCCCAGCCCAUCGUGGAUGGCGAGGAGGGGCUUAUCUGGGUGAUCGGGCCUGUGCUGGCCGUGGUCUUCAUAAUCUGCAUUGUCAUUGCUAUCCUGCUCUACAAGAACAAACCCGACAGUAAACGCAAGGACUCAGAACCCCGCACCAAAUGCCUCCUGAACAAUGCCGACCUCGCCCCUCACCACCCCAAGGACCCUGUGGAAAUGAGACGCAUUAACUUCCAGACUCCAGAUUCAGGCCUCAGGAGCCCCCUCAGGGAGCCGGGGUUUCACUUUGAAAGCAUGCUUAGCCACCCGCCAAUCCCCAUCGCAGACAUGGCGGAGCACACGGAGCGGCUCAAGGCCAACGACAGCCUCAAGCUCUCCCAGGAGUAUGAGUCCAUCGACCCUGGACAGCAGUUCACAUGGGAACAUUCCAACCUGGAAGUGAACAAGCCGAAGAACCGCUAUGCCAACGUCAUCGCCUAUGACCACUCCCGUGUCAUCCUCCAGCCCAUUGAAGGCAUCGUGGGCAGUGAUUACAUCAAUGCCAACUAUGUGGACGGCUACCGGCGUCAGAACGCGUACAUUGCCACGCAGGGGCCGCUGCCUGAGACCUUUGGGGACUUCUGGCGUAUGGUGUGGGAGCAGCGGUCGGCGACCAUCGUCAUGAUGACGCGGCUGGAGGAGAAGUCACGGGUGAGCCUUGGACCCCACGGCCCUCAAGCCCCUGCCAGCCAGCCUGUCCCUGCUGACACCUGUUCUCUUGCCCAAUACAGAUCAAGUGUGAUCAGUAUUGGCCCAACAGAGGCACGGAGACCUACGGCUUCAUCCAGGUCACGUUGCUAGACACCAUCGAGCUGGCCACAUUCUGCGUCAGGACAUUCUCUCUGCACAAGAAUGGCUCCAGUGAGAAACGCGAGGUCCGCCAGUUCCAGUUUACGGCGUGGCCGGACCACGGCGUGCCCGAAUACCCAACGCCCUUCCUGGCUUUCCUGCGGAGAGUCAAGACCUGCAACCCGCCAGAUGCCGGCCCCAUCGUGGUUCACUGCAGUGCCGGUGUGGGCCGCACAGGCUGCUUUAUCGUCAUCGAUGCCAUGCUUGAGCGGAUCAAGCCAGAGAAGACAGUCGAUGUCUAUGGCCACGUGACGCUCAUGAGGUCCCAGCGCAACUACAUGGUGCAGACGGAGGACCAGUACAGCUUCAUCCACGAGGCCCUGCUGGAGGCCGUGGGCUGUGGCAACACAGAAGUGCCCGCACGCAGCCUCUAUGCCUACAUCCAGAAGCUGGCCCAGGUGGAGCCUGGUGAACACGUCACUGGCAUGGAACUCGAGUUCAAGCGGCUGGCUAACUCCAAGGCCCACACGUCACGCUUCAUCAGUGCCAAUCUGCCUUGUAACAAGUUCAAGAACCGCCUGGUGAACAUCAUGCCCUAUGAGAGCACACGGGUCUGUCUGCAACCCAUCCGGGGUGUGGAGGGCUCUGACUACAUCAACGCCAGCUUCAUUGAUGGCUACAGGCAGCAGAAGGCCUACAUCGCGACACAGGGGCCGCUGGCGGAGACCACGGAAGACUUCUGGCGCAUGCUGUGGGAGAACAAUUCGACGAUCGUGGUGAUGCUGACCAAGCUGCGGGAGAUGGGCCGGGAGAAGUGUCACCAGUACUGGCCGGCCGAGCGCUCUGCCCGCUACCAGUACUUUGUGGUAGAUCCGAUGGCAGAAUACAACAUGCCUCAGUAUAUUCUGCGAGAGUUCAAGGUCACAGAUGCCCGGGAUGGCCAGUCCCGGACUGUCCGGCAGUUCCAGUUCACAGACUGGCCGGAACAGGGUGUGCCAAAGUCGGGGGAGGGCUUCAUCGACUUCAUUGGCCAAGUGCAUAAGACUAAGGAGCAGUUUGGCCAGGACGGCCCCAUCUCUGUCCACUGCAGUGCCGGCGUGGGCAGGACGGGCGUCUUCAUCACGCUUAGCAUCGUGCUGGAGCGGAUGCGGUACGAAGGCGUGGUGGACAUCUUUCAGACGGUGAAGAUGCUACGAACCCAGCGGCCGGCCAUGGUGCAGACAGAGACGGAGUCUCGCCCAGGCUGGAGUGCAGUGGCUCGAUCUCGGCUCACUGCAAGCUCCGCCUCCCGGGUUCACGCCAUUCUCCUGCCUCAGCCUCCCGAGUGGCUGGGACUACAGGAUUGAGGCCAUCAAGCUACAGAUGAUCUUACAAAUGGAACCCCAAAUGAGCUCAACUAACAACUUCUACUGAGGACCCCUGGACCAACCUGCUGGCCCUUUCACUGGCCUAAACAGUUCCCCUCUGGAGGACACCACAACUGCAGGGCCCCUUCUUCGCCCCUAUCCAGCAGGAAGUAGCUAGAGCAGUCAUCGCCCAAUUCCCAACAGCAGUUGGGGUGUCCUGUUUAGAGGGGGGAUUGAGAGGUGAAGUCAGCUGGACUUCCUGGGUUGAGUGGGAACUUGGAGAACUUUUCUGUCUUACAAGAGGUUUGUAAAAUGCACCAAUCAGCACUCUGUAAAAAUGCACCAAUCAGCGCUCUGUAGCUAGAGGUUUGUAAAAUGCACCAAUCAGCACUCUGUAAAAUGGAUCAAUCAGCACUCUGUAAAAUGGACCAAUCAGCAGGACAUGGGCAGGGACAAAUAAGGGAAAAAAUUGGCCAGCCCAGGCAGCAGCGGCAACCUGCUCGGGUCCCCUCCACGCUGUGGAAGCUUUGUUCUUUUGCUGUUCACAAUAAAUCUUGCUCCUCGCUUUUUGGGUCCGAGACACCUUUAAGAGCUGUAACACUC